UAUAUAUUUGAUAUUAUAGAAGCACAACGAUCCAUCACAAAAUUCCAGCAGCAAACAGCCAAACACAGAUAAAAUCACAGGGUCGCCGUUUCGACGGCCCUGCGGUUGAGCCCAAACUUUAGCCGCAUAUAAAGUUUUCCUUCUCUUCAUCCAUUGUCAACAUGGCACACCCGUCGUUCAGACUUUAAAAAGCACAGGUAAAAUUUAAACCAGACACAGAAAGGCCGCCUCCAAAGCUUUGGAGGCAGCAGCAGGCAGGCACCGGAGACAUAUCUUUCAUUUCCUCACUAGGGCUAAAAGAUGGUAUAGGCCGAUCCAGGCUAUCUAAGGAGACGAAUCAAGCUUUUGGACUUUGUUAGCCCUUUCGUGGUUGUCAGAGUGGCGACCACCCCGCUUCCCACCACCGUGGUGCCUUCCGCCGCCACCUCUGUUGUUCUUCCAGUCCCUGGGAAGUCCACAGCAAGGGAACAACAGUGUUAUCUCAUGAACAUGUUAAGCAAAAAAGAAACACGGCAUACGGUUUGCCCUACCACUGAAAUGUUUUCAGUCUGGACCAAAGAAUUUCGUACGCGUAGGCUUAUAGAGAUUAAAAUUUUGGUGGUGGACAACAUUAUUCUAGACACAACUAUGGUUCCUUUCUUGCACAGCAUUAGGUUUUCUUCUUGAUGAAAUUUCAAUAGCUAUGAUCCAAUUUAUACCCAGUUUAUACUACAACGAGGAAAAAAUUAAACAGCAUCAACAAUCUCAAAUAUAAAAAAAUUAUAGUACCUUCCUCCCCUGUUACUUCUAUUAUUGUUAUUGAAUCUC
rnacentral:lncRNA from 1 species